AAUAAGGAGAGGAAGACCCCCACUAAACCGAGCGGCCCAGGAUAAUUUACUUCGAGAGGAUGUAGACAGGCUAUUUGAGAUGAUGGAAGGAUUCAUAGCUGCCCAGCAAGGGCGAGAGGAGAGAAGGGAGUUACACAACCCUCCUCCACUACCGCAGGUUGAGCCUCCGCUACAGCAGGCUGAUCCCGAGCCACCCCGGCACGAGUCUGCUCCUCCACAGUACCACCCGGC
rnacentral:lncRNA from 1 species